GAUAACCGAAGAUCACACCAGGGCUGAGGGUGGGGUUCGUGAUCAGACGAACGUCCCCACCACCGGGUGCCCAGGUGUCGUACACACCGCCGAAGAACAUGGCCUUGAAGACCAGCAGCAGGGCGCCGACGCCAAGAAGAAUCAGGUGAUAACCAAUGAUGUUGGUCAUCUGAUUCUUAUCGCGCCA
rnacentral:antisense_RNA from 17 species